CCUAAGGCUUUUUUGAAAGCCACCUUUGAUGUUUCUUGCACUUUAU
rfam:Nannochloropsis gaditana strain B-31 chromosome 11, whole genome shotgun sequence.